rnacentral:rRNA from 1 species
AUGGACCAUUCCAUCCCUUAUUCCCGUGGCUAUGCAUCGGAUACGGAUGACGAAGGUCUCAAUGAACAAGUUGAUGAGGAGGGGUUCACGGUGAAGGAGGCCGAAGGUUUCGAGAAGGUAUUCGGUCGGGAUCAUCGGACUACAUUGUUCAAGGAUGUUAGUCUCGCGGAUGAAGCCAUGGUAGAUGGUGGCCAAGGUAUAUCUCUUGGGAUUAGGACAAGCUCUCACCGUGAUUUGGAUGAUGGCAAGAACGGGGUUGCUAAAGGGUUUAAGUUCCAAACCAUGUUGGAAUUGAAGAUGUGGCUCGAAAACUACUCGGUCACGCAUUAUCGUCUGGUAGUCCACUCGGACGUCAAUGUGCGCUAG